UACGUAGGGUGCGAGCGUUGCCCGGAUUUAUUGGGCGUAAAGGGCGCGUAGGCGGCUCGGCACGUCCGUUGUGAAAUCGCCCGGCUCAACUGGGCGGGGUCGGCGGAUACGGCCGAGCUGGAGCAAGCUAGGGGGUAAUGGAAUUCCCGGUGUAGUGGUGGAAUGCGCAGAUAUCAGGAAGAACACCCGUGGCGAAGGCGGCUCUCUGGGACGGUACUGACGCUGAGACGCGAAAGCGUGGGGAGCGAACAGG
rnacentral:rRNA from 1 species